rnacentral:rRNA from 1 species
UUAACACAUGCAAGUCGAACGAUGAUGCCCACUUGUGGGUGGAUUAGUGGCGAACGGGUGAGUAACACGUGAGUAACCUGCCCUUGACUCUGGGAUAAGCCUGGGAAACUGGGUCUAAUACCGGAUAUGACCUUCCAUCGCAUGGUGGUUGGUGGAAAGCUUUUGUGGUUUUGGAUGGACUCGCGGCCUAUCAGCUUGUUGGUGAGGUAAUGGCUUACCAAGGCGACGACGGGUAGCCGGCCUGAGAGGGUGACCGGCCACACUGGGACUGAGACACGGCCCAGACUCCUACGGGAGGCAGCAGUGGGGAAUAUUGCACAAUGGGCGCAAGCCUGAUGCAGCGACGCCGCGUGAGGGAUGACGGCCUUCGGGUUGUAAACCUCUUUCAGUAGGGAAGAAGCGAAAGUGACGGUACCUGCAGAAGAAGCGCCGGCUAACUACGUGCCAGCAGCCGCGGUAAUACGUAGGGCGCAAGCGUUAUCCGGAAUUAUUGGGCGUAAAGAGCUCGUAGGCGGUUUGUCGCGUCUGCCGUGAAAGUCCGGGGCUCAACUCCGGAUCUGCGGUGGGUACGGGCAGACUAGAGUGAUGUAGGGGAGACUGGAAUUCCUGGUGUAGCGGUGAAAUGCGCAGAUAUCAGGAGGAACACCGAUGGCGAAGGCAGGUCUCUGGGCAUUAACUGACGCUGAGGAGCGAAAGCAUGGGGAGCGAACAGGAUUAGAUACCCUGGUAGUCCAUGCCGUAAACGUUGGGCACUAGGUGUGGGGGACAUUCCACGUUUUCCGCGCCGUAGCUAACGCAUUAAGUGCCCCGCCUGGGGAGUACGGCCGCAAGGCUWAAACUCAAAGGAAUUGACGGGGGCCCGCACAAGCGGCGGAGCAUGCGGAUUAAUUCGAUGCAACGCGAAGAACCUUACCAAGGCUUGACAUGGACCGGACCGCCGCAGAAAUGUGGUUUCCCCUUUGGGGCUGGUUUACAGGUGGUGCAUGGUUGUCGUCAGCUCGUGUCGUGAGAUGUUGGGUUAAGUCCCGAAAAGGGCGA